GACGAACGCUGGCGGCGUGCUUAACACAUGCAAGUCGAACGGAAAGGCCCUGCUUUUGUGGGGUGCUCGAGUGGCGAACGGGUGAGUAACACGUGAGUAACCUGCCCUUGACUUUGGGAUAACUUCAGGAAACUGGGGCUAAUACCGGAUAGGAGCUCCUGCUGCAUGGUGGGGGUUGGAAAGUUUCGGCGGUUGGGGAUGGACUCGCGGCUUAUCAGCUUGUUGGUGGGGUAGUGGCUUACCAAGGCUUUGACGGGUAGCCGGCCUGAGAGGGUGACCGGCCACAUUGGGACUGAGAUACGGCCCAGACUCCUACGGGAGGCAGCAGUGGGGAAUAUUGCACAAUGGGCGGAAGCCUGAUGCAGCAACGCCGCGUGCGGGAUGACGGCCUUCGGGUUGUAAACCGCUUUCGCCUGUGACGAAGCGUGAGUGACGGUAAUGGGUAAAGAAGCACCGGCUAACUACGUGCCAGCAGCCGCGGUGAUACGUAGGGUGCGAGCGUUGUCCGGAUUUAUUGGGCGUAAAGGGCUCGUAGGUGGUUGAUCGCGUCGGAAGUGUAAUCUUGGGGCUUAACCCUGAGCGUGCUUUCGAUACGGGUUGACUUGAGGAAGGUAGGGGAGAAUGGAAUUCCUGGUGGAGCGGUGGAAUGCGCAGAUAUCAGGAGGAACACCAGUGGCGAAGGCGGUUCUCUGGGCCUUUCCUGACGCUGAGGAGCGAAAGCGUGGGGAGCGAACAGGCUUAGAUACCCUGGUAGUCCACGCUGUAAACGGUGGGUACUAGGUGUGGGGUCCAUUCCACGGGUUCCGUGCCGUAGCUAACGCUUUAAGUACCCCGCCUGGGGAGUACGGCCGCACGGCUAAAACUCAAAGGAAUUGACGGGGCCCCGCACAAGCGGCGGAGCAUGCGGAUUAAUUCGAUGCAACGCGUAGAACCUUACCUGGGUUUGACAUGGAUCGGGAGUGCUCAGAGAUGGGUGUGCCUCUUUUGGGGUCGGUUCACAGGUGGUGCAUGGCUGUCGUCAGCUCGUGUCGUGAGAUGUUGGGUUAAGUCCCGCAACGAGCGCAACCCUUGUUCACUGUUGCCAGCACGUUAUGGUGGGGACUCAGUGGAGACCGCCGGGGUCAACUCGGAGGAAGGUGGGGAUGACGUCAAGUCAUCAUGCCCCUUAUGUCCAGGGCUUCACGCAUGCUACAAUGGCUGGUACAGGGAGUGGCGAGCCUGUGAGGGUGAGCGAAUCUCGGAAAGCCGGUCUCAGUUCGGAUUGGGGUCUGCAACUCGACCUCAUGAAGUCGGAGUCGCUAGUAAUCGCAGAUCAGCAACGCUGCGGUGAAUACGUUCCCGGG
rnacentral:rRNA from 1 species